GCCGUUUAGGCGGAGAUACGCGUGAGGUUUAGGACCUCGAGAUGGUUUAUCACCAUACGGUA
rnacentral:tRNA from 1 species